UACGUAGGGGGCAAGCGUUGUCCGGAUUUACUGGGCGUAAAGAGCGUGUAGGCGGCCAAGCAGGUCCGUUGUGAAAUCUGGAGGCUCAACCUCCAGCGGUCGUUGGAAACUACUUGGCUAGAGUCCGGAAGAGGAGAGUGGAAUUCCUGGAUGUAGCGGUGAAAUGCGCAGAUAUCAGGAAGAACACCGAUGGCGAAAGCAGCUCUCUGGGACGGUACUGACGCUGAGGCGCGAAAGCGUGGGGAGCGAACAGG
rnacentral:rRNA from 1 species